GUGGUUUUAACCCUAUAGGGUCAGGAAUACAUGUUUGUGUUCCUGAUCCUAUAGUGCUCCUUUAAGCUCACAGGUCUAUAAUUUCCAGGCAAGAAUUUUUUAAAUAUAGGAACCACAUCUGCCUUCCUUCAAUCCUCCGGAACACUGCCUGAAAGAAAAGAAUCUUGAAAGAUUAAAAGCAGAGGUUCACUUAUUUCUACACUUAGUUCCUUAAGUACCCAUGGAUGAAUACUGUCAAGC